CCUACGGGAGGCAGCAGUAAGGAAUAUUGGUCAAUGGACGCAAGUCUGAACCAGCCAUGCCGCGUGAAGGAUUAAGGCCCUCUGGGUUGUAAACUUCUUUUAUAGGGGACGAAAAAAGGGCAUUCUUGCUCACUUGACGGUACCCUAGGAAUAAGCACCGGCUAACUCCGUGCCAGCAGCCGCGGUAAUACGGAGGGUGCAAGCGUUAUCCGGAUUUACUGGGUUUAAAGGGUGCGUAGGUGGGUUGGUAAGUCGGUGGUGAAAUCUUCGAGCUUAACUCGGAAACUGCCAUUGAUACUAUCAAUCUUGAAUCAUCUAGAGGUAAGCGGAAUAUGUCAUGUAGCGGUGAAAUGCUUAGAUAUGACAUAGAACACCAAUUGCGAAGGCAGCUUACUAUGGAUGUAUUGACACUGAGGCACGAAAGCGUGGGGAUCAAACAGGAUUAGAUACCCUGUAGUCACGCCCUAAACGAUGGAUACUCGACAUUGUGAUAUACUAUAAGUGUCUGAGCGAAAGNAUAUAUACCACAGAGACGACGCGAGUAGAGACAANAGAGUAGAGCGNGAGAGAGACGAGACGACGACGAGGGAGGAGG
rnacentral:rRNA from 1 species